GGGCUCCCUGCUCUCAGGCCCCGCCUGGGUGCAGUGUCCAGGGCAGAGGGCUCCCCCGUCUGGACCCUGCCUGGGUGCAGUGUCCCAGGGCCUAUCCACAGACGCUGCGGGGCCGGGGCUUCCCAGGGCUGCUCCUGUCUGGUUGACAGAGGCUAUGAUGAGGCUCAAUUCAGCCGGAUGUUUGUGCUCACGUGCUCACAGCGGCACUGGCCAUGGCAGCUGGGGAGGGAGUGGAUCCCGUGUGCGGGUGCAGAGAUGGAUGUGCUCCCUGCGCAGUGGGGCUGCGUUCAGCCCUCCAGAGGACGGGCUCUGAUGUGCUGCCCGUGGACCCGCCCUGUGGACACGGUGAGACCCGCCCUGUGGACACGGUGAGACCCGACAGUCAGGAAAGGAUGAGCGCUGUGUCCUUGCACUCACAGGGAGUCCCACGGCCGUCCGAUUCCUAGAGGCAGAAAGUCGAAUGGUGGGGGUGCCAGGGGUUGGGGAGGGGCUGGGGAGUUGGUUUACUGGGGACAGAGUUUCAGUUUAGGGAAUGGGAAGUUCUGGAGAUGGAUGAUGGUGAUGGACACCAAGCAGCUCUUCAUGCCGUGGAACUAACUGUGCACUUAGGAAUGGGGAAAAUGGUACAUUUCCUGUUACAUGUAUU
rnacentral:lncRNA from 1 species